rnacentral:rRNA from 1 species
UUUAUAUGAGAGUUUGAUCCUGGCUCAGGACGAACGCUGGCGGCAUGCCUAAUACAUGCAAGUCGAACGCUUUAACUUCAUCGGGUGCUUGCACCCAUCGAAGUUAAAGAGUGGCGGACGGGUGAGUAACACGUGGGUAACCUGCCCAUAAGAGGGGGAUAACAUUCGGAAACGGAUGCUAAUACCGCAUAUUUCUAAUCGUCUCCUGACGAAUGGAAGAAAGGUGGCUUCGGCUACCGCUUAUGGAUGGACCCGCGGCGUAUUAGCUAGUUGGUGAGGUAAUGGCUCACCAAGGCGAUGAUACGUAGCCGACCUGAGAGGGUGAUCGGCCACACUGGGACUGAGACACGGCCCAGACUCCUACGGGAGGCAGCAGUAGGGAAUCUUCCGCAAUGGACGAAAGUCUGACGGAGCAAUGCCGCGUGAGUGAAGAAGGUUUUCGGAUCGUAAAACUCUGUUGUUAGAGAAGAAUAAGGAUGAGAGUAACUGCUCAUCCCCUGACGGUAUCUAACCAGAAAGCCACGGCUAACUACGUGCCAGCAGCCGCGGUAAUACGUAGGUGGCAAGCGUUGUCCGGAUUUAUUG